UUCUUUAAAAGCUAUUUGAAAGGAAAGGUUUUACAAUGUAUUUUAAAGGUUAAAUACGUAAUAAACCUUUACAAUGUACUCUUUUUUUUUGCAGGCUGAAGAAGAAGGAGGACUAGAAAGAAAAGCAGAGGUAAUUGAAAAUCUUUACAAGCUAUUUUAAAGGUCUACUAAUUAUAUUA
rnacentral:sRNA from 1 species